rnacentral:snRNA from 1 species
AGAUGUGAGCGCGAUCUGGCUGCGACAUCUGUCACCCCAUUGAUCGCCAGGGUUGAUUCGGCUGAUCUGGCUGGCUAGGCGGGUGCCCCCUCCUCCCUCACCGAUCCAUGAGUGUCCCUCCCGAAGCUGCGCGCUCGGUCGGUCGAAGAGGACGACCUUCCCCCCAGAGGAGAGAGGACUGGUCUUCGGUCAAGGCUAUACGAGUAGCUGCGCUCCCCUGCUAGAACCUCCAAACAAGAGCAGGGAGCUCUAAGUCCUUCAUGUCCCUCAUGGGUGAG